rnacentral:ncRNA from 1 species
UCCAUCGCGAGGUGGAAUCCGAAGGAAGCGGAAGGCAAAGCACUGGCCCGACGAACAGGAAUCGCAUACGAGGCGGUCGCCGUGGGUAAGAAGGCACCUAUCUUCAAAGCCCAGUACUUGCACGGAAGCGGCGGACGUAAAUGCGGCGGGCAUAAGUGUGAAGGUCGCGCGU